GAGUUUGAUCAUGGCUCAGGAUGAACGCUGGCGGCGUGGAUAAGGCAUGCAAGUAGAACGCCCCGCAAGGGGAGUUGCGAACGAGGUAGUAAUACAUAGGUACAAACCCCCGAGUCAGGAAUAACCUACCGAAAGGUAGGCUAAUACUUGAUAGUCCCGCAAGGGUAAAGAUUUAUCGCUUGGGGAUUGGCCUGUGCAGUAUCAGCUAGUUGGUAGGGUAAUAGCCUACCAAGGCAAUGACGCUUAGGGGAGGUGAGAGCCUGGCCCCCACCGAUGGUACUGAGACACGGACCAUACACCUACGGGUGGCUGCAGUCGAGAAUCUUCUGCAAUGGACGCAAGUCUGACGGAGCGACGCCGCGUGACUGAUGAAGUCUUUCGGGAUGUAAAGGCCUUUUAUGAAGGAGAAAGUUUUGAUAGUACUUCAUGAAUAAGGGGUUGCUAAACUCGUGCCAGCAGCAGCGGUAAUACGAGUACCCCAAGCGUUAUCCGGAAUUAUUGGGCGUAAAGGGUAUGUAGGUUGUUAUGUUAGCCUUUUGUCAAAGCCUUCGGCUCAACCGGAGAAUUGCGGGAGAAACGGCAUAACUAGAGGGCGCGAGAGGUUUGCGGAACUCAUGGUGUAGGG
rnacentral:rRNA from 1 species